AUAUAUAUACAUGGAUUGGUAAGCUUUAGAAAUGUUUGAUGACAACUGUGCGGAUAGUUUAUUUUUGUUCCUUAAUGAAACUUCUCUUCAUGCAGUAAUAUGAUGAGUGUUGCUGCAUCAUUCUAUAAGGCAAUUUUAGCAGUUACAACAGGGAUAUCUGUGCCCUUCAACAACUUGGCUAUUAUAUACAAGCAACAGCUUCAAGAUAUCAAACUCUACACCUUCUAUAUGGAGCUAGAUUUGCAAAAGUCAUAUCCAACUCGAGGAAGUGACUUAUUGACAUGGGAGAGAACUUAUUGGUAACCAAGGACUUUAUGAAGAUAGCAAAUUUUGGCCUUGCUCGUGAAGUUCAUUCGAAGCCACCAUUCACAGAAUAGGUUUCAACACGCUGUUUACAAAUCUCAAGUACUCCAGAGUUGAAAUUGAUGAAGUGCAGUUCGAGUCG